rnacentral:rRNA from 1 species
GACGAACGCUGGCGGCGUGCCUAAUACAUGCAAGUUGAGCGCUGAAGGUUGGUACUUGUACCAACUGGAUGAGCAGCGAACGGGUGAGUAACGCGUGGGGAAUCUGCCUUUGAGCGGGGGACAACAUUUGGAAACGAAUGCUAAUACCGCAUAAAAACUUUAAACACAAGUUUUAAGUUUGAAAGAUGCAAUUGCAUCACUCAAAGAUGAUCCCGCGUUGUAUUAGCUAGUUGGUGAGGUAAAGGCUCACCAAGGCGAUGAUACAUAGCCGACCUGAGAGGGGGAUCGGCCACAUUGGGACUGAGACACGGCCCAAACUCCUUCGGGAGGCAGCAGGAGGGGAUCUUCGGGAAUGGACGAAAGGCUGAACGAGCAACGCCGGGGGAGUGAAGAAGGGUUUCGGAUCGGAAAACUCUGUUGGUAGGGAAGAACGUUGGUGGGAGUGGAAAGCGCAUGAAGUGACGGUAACUAACCAGAAAGGGACGGCUAACUACGUG